GUAACAGGUCUUCGGAUGCUGACGAGUGGCGAACGGGUGAGUAAUACAUCGGAACGUGCCCGAUCGUGGGGGAUAACGCAGCGAAAGCUGUGCUAAUACCGCAUACGAUCUACGGAUGAAAGCGGGGGAUCGCAAGACCUCGCGCGGACGGAGCGGCCGAUGGCAGAUUAGGUAGUUGGUGGGAUAAAAGCUUACCAAGCCGACGAUCUGUAGCUGGUCUGAGAGGACGACCAGCCACACUGGGACUGAGACACGGCCCAGACUCCUACGGGAGGCAGCAGUGGGGAAUUUUGGACAAUGGGGGAAACCCUGAUCCAGCCAUGCCGCGUGCAGGAUGAAGGCCUUCGGGUUGUAAACUGCUUUUGUACGGAACGAAAAGGUCCUUUCUAAUAAAGAGGGCUCAUGACGGUACCGUAAGAAUAA
rnacentral:rRNA from 1 species